rnacentral:misc_RNA from 1 species
ACCAGCACCGCCCGCCCCCUAACGCGCGCGCACGCGGCGAAUGGAGGCAACGAGAGGAAAGGAAAAAGAAGGCGCCAACGGGUCAUCAGCCGCGACCGAGAGAAGGCAGGCCAUACUCGCCCCUCUUUCGAAUGAACGCGCAUGAACUUGUGGUGGUGUCGAGGCUAUGGGCUGGUGGUUCCUGUGUCGCCAGCUUGGUCGGCUGAUAAUGGCGUUUACACACCCCGUCCCUGCGGCGCCCCCGUUCUCCCCUCCUUCCACUUACACAGUCCUCGCUGGAGGAAGAGCGGGCCCGCUCAGUCACGCGGCGAUUCUGGUGUGAUGUGCAUGUGGUCUAUCACUACCGUGGCGAGUACGCGCUUCUCUCGUGCUCCUCUUUUGCCUUAUUCCCUCCCCGCAAUGUCUUUUCGUUGUUCGCCACGUCCACCUUUUUUGUUGUUCGGCCUGCUCCGUGCAGCGCUGUGUACACGUAUCUCACUAUCCUCACGACGACCACAUCUUUUCCAUUCCACCUCAUUGUGCGCGGGGCGUGCACGCGUCUGCGCAUGCCUAUAACCACACGACACGCACGUCGAUGGGUCAUCGACGUCUUUUUAGCGCAUUUUAUGUGGCGGUGGUGGUGGGGGGGGGUUCGGCGUUAGCUUCUUCUUUUCCGCCUGCGACAUUCUUCAGCUGGCUCGCGGACGCACACGCACAGACGCCGUGUUCUUUGGCCAUGGCGACAUUCACUGUGAUCGGUGCCCUCACCAUUGUGUAUGCCCUCGAGCAUGCCGACGCAACGGACGACUUUUUCAUCCCUCGCCUUUGCGUGCGUGUGAAGCAUGCGUUUUGAAAUCAAAGAGAGCAACUACAACAAAUACAAAGAAAACCUGCGAAAGCGACCGCCGCCCUCUUGAAGGGGCGGAGGGGACACCCCACGGGGCGUGGCACCCCAAGGUCCCAGUCCCCCACCCUCUGUGUGGGGAGAUGAGAGCGAUGUAUGACUGCUGCUGUCGGUGGUUAGGGCCUGGAUGGUGCUGUGCGCUGGAGCGAUCUGCGACAAUGUGAGUGUGUCUGUGCCAUCCACAUCAUUAGGCAGCGUGUCAGUGCGACUCGAACGUAUUCCACCCAGCCCUUUGGCCGCAUACUGGCAUGGGAAGCCUCAGUGCCACCGCGAGAGGGGUGCACGAGGUGGCGGCCGGCAUAAUAGGCGCGGCUGCGAGGCGACCUGCGAGGCAGGCGGGUGGGUGGUGUUUGAGGCAGGCGCCACGCUCUCUGAUGUCUGAGUCAGCGCAUUUGGUGUAACGGGCCUCUACAACUGUUUGGCAACACGUAGUGCACCCCUGUGGCAGGCCGGUGCCGGUGUGGCUCUCUCUCUGUGUAGAACGCCGUUUCUCGCAUGCUGGAUGGCGGAGAAUGGACAGACGUUCGAAGGAGAACGAACAUAAAAUGCCUCUCGUACUUGCUUCCGUGCUUCAUCUCUGCACUACGGCGUUGCUCUUACAG